rnacentral:rRNA from 1 species
GGCGAGUGAAGCGGUAACAGCUCAAAUUUGAAAUCUGGCUCUUUCAGGGUCCGAGUUGUAAUUUGUAGAAGAUGCUUCGGGUGUGGCCCCGGUCUAAGUUCCUUGGAACAGGACGUCAUAGAGGGUGAGAAUCCCGUAUGUGACUGGGUGCCUUCGCUCAUGUGAAGCUCUUUCGACGAGUCGAGUUGUUUGGGAAUGCAGCUCAAAAUGGGUGGUAAAUUUCAUCUAAAGCUAAAUAUUGGCCAGAGACCGAUAGCGCACAAGUAGAGUGAUCGAAAGAUGAAAAGCACUUUGGAAAGAGAGUUAAACAGUACGUGAAAUUGUUGAAAGGGAAGCGCUUGCAACCAGACUUGCACGUUGUCGAUCAUCCGGGGCUCGCCCCGGUGCACUCGAUUUCGUUCAGGCCAGCAUCGGUUUCGGUGGUGGGAUAAAGGCCUUGGGAAUGUAGCUUCUUUCGGGGAGUGUUAUAGCCCUCGGUGCAAUGCCGCCUACCGGGACCGAGGACCGCGCUUCGGCUAGGAUGCUGGCGUAAUGGUUGUAAGCGACCCGUCUUGAAACACGGACCAAGGAGUCUAACAUCUAUGCGAGUGUUUGGGUGUCAAACCCAUACGCGUAAUGAAAGUGAACGGAGGUGAGAACCCUUAAGGGUGCAUCAUCGACCGAUCCUGAUGUCUUCGGAUGGAUUUGAG